AUUUUAUGUUUGGGGACUCACCAUAAUGUGAGGAGCUGUAUUAAAGGGCCACAGCAUUAGGAAGGUUGAGAACCACUGCUCUAUCAAGUGUAGAAGAGAAUUCAUUGGCAUGCAGCUAACUUUAAGGUAGAUAAAGUGGAUUACUAAUCAUAGGAAGUGUAGUUGACUUUUCUAGCAAUAACCAACCCCAACUAAUAACUCCACGAAGCAGGUAUAUAGUCAACUGCAGAAAACCCAGAUGCCAAAGGAAUUCUAAGUCCACAUAGACCAUCCAGGUUCCCAAAAGGUCAUUCAUUUUCACGUAUCAAGUGACUUUUUUACUCCACAACAAUAGAAAUGGGUUAAAGUACUUCUUUGUUAAGCUGUUGCCCAAAUGUUAUAGACCUUGAACUCUAAAAUAAGCCAGCCUCAUUAAAGGAAAACAGUGGCCUGAGGGAGCAGCAUCUCUUCUGGAAAACAGUUACAGGGUGUUCUUAUACCCAACACUGCCAUUGUCAGGAUUUGUCUUAGAACCAGGGAAAUCAGAGCUUGAAGAAGACGGGAUCGCAUGAUUAAGCUCUUCAAAGACUCAGAGAUUGAAGCGCCCAAGAGGGGCUAUCUUGCUUGUUUGUUUGUUUGUUUGUUUGUUUGUUUGUUUGUUUUUCUAGAAAGAGUUUCUCUGUGCAGCCCUGGCUGUCCUGGAACUCACUCUAUAGACCAGGUCAGUCUUGAACUCAGAGAUUGGCCUGCUUCUUCCUUCCUAGUGCUGGGAUUAAGGUUGUCCACCACAAGGCCCAGCUAUAAGAAGGUGCCAUCUUUACUGCCACCAAUACAUUAUAUCAAAGUACCUGAGACUCAAAAAUGGCAAUGUCUCUUGAAUUCCAGAACAUGUUACAACUGAUACAAACACAGGGCUGUGUCUACUUCCAAAGAUCUACUGUAUUUUCUACUGAAGCCAGUGUGGGAAUGGGCACAUUGCUUUGAAUGUCUCCCAAAGAGUCAGGCAAGGUAGUGCAUACUUAUAAUCCCAGCCCCCCAGGAGGGAUCACAAGUUCAGGGUCAGCAUGAGCUAUACAGACUGUCUCAAAACCCAAUAAAUCAGUUGUAGAACAUUUGUUCGAGGUCCUGGGUACCACCCCAAGCACU
rnacentral:lncRNA from 1 species